UGUAGCAAUACAAGGCAGACGGCUCAGUAACGCGUAGUCAACCUACCCUAUGGACGGGGAUAACCUCGGGAAACUGAGAAUAAUACCCGAUAGAACAUUAUACCUGGAAUGGUUUAUGUUUCAAAUAAUUUAUUGCCGUAGGAUGGGACUGCGGCCUAUCAGUUUGUUGGUGAGGUAAUGGCCCACCAAGACUAUUACAGGUACGGGCUCUGAGAGGAGUAGCCCGGAGAUGGGUACUGAGACACGGACCCAGGCCCUAUGGGGCGCAGCAGGCGAGAAAACUUUGCAAUGUGCGAAAGCACGACAAGGUUAAUCCGAGUGGUUUCUGCUAAAGGAACCUUUUGUCAGUCCUAGAAACACUGAUGAAUAAGGGGUGGGCAAGUUCUGGUGUCAGCCGCCGCGGUAAAACCAGCACCUCAAGUGGUCAGGAUGAUUAUUGGGCCUAAAGCAUCCGUAGCCUGCUUUGUUAGUUUUCGGUUAAAUCCAUACGCUCAACGUAUGGGCUGCCGGGAAUACUGCAAAGCUAGGGAGUGGGAGAGGUAGACGGUACUCGGUAGGAAGGGGUAAAAUCCUUUGAUCUAUUGAUGACCACCUGUGGCGAAGGCGGUCUACCAGAACACGUCCGACGGUGAGGGAUGAAAGCUGGGGGAGCAAACCGGAUUAGAUACCCGGGUAGUCCCAGCUGUAAACUAUGCAAACUCGGUGAUGCAUUGGCUUGAUGCCAAUGCAGUGCCGCAGGGAAGCCGUUAAGUUUGCCGCCUGGGAAGUACGUACGCAAGUAUGAAACUUAAAGGAAUUAGCGGGGGAGCACCACAAGGGGUGAAGCCUGCGGUUCAAUUGGA
rnacentral:rRNA from 1 species